rnacentral:rRNA from 1 species
CCUACGGGGCGCAGCAGUGAGGAAUAUUGGUCAAUGGGCGCGAGCCUGAACCAGCCAAGUAGCGUGAAUGAUGACUGCCCUACGGGUUGUAAACUUCUUUUAUAAAGGAAUAAAGUGAGGCACGUGGGCCUUUUGGUAGGUACUUUAUGAAUAAGGCUCGGCUAACUCCGUGCCAGCAGCCGCGGUAAUACGGAGGAUCCGAGUGUUAUCCGGAUUUAUAGGGUUUAAAGGGAGCGUAGAUGGGUUGUUAAGUCAGUUGUGAAAGUUUGCGUCGCAACCGUAAAAUUGCAAUUGAUACUGGCAGCCUUGAGUACAGUUGAGGUAGGCGGAAUUCGUGGUGUAGCGGUGAAAUGCUUAGAUAUCACGAAGAACUCCGAUUGCGAAGGCAGCUUACUAAACUGCCACUGACAUUGAUGCUCGAAAGUGUGGGUAUCAAACAGGAUUAGAUACCCUUGUAGUC